ensembl:snoRNA SNORD63 Small nucleolar RNA SNORD63
GUGCCAUGAUGUAACUGUCAACGCAUCAUCCUGAAGGAUCGUGUGGAGACCUGUCACUGAGCACC